UAUUGCUCUGGCAGAAUUAUGCAUUGGACUUAGGAUCCAAUUAUGUGGGUAAAAAUCCCAUGGGUAAUAA
rnacentral:tRNA from 1 species